rnacentral:rRNA from 11 species
UUUGAUCCGGAGAUUUCCGAAUGGGGAAACCCACCGAAAGGUAUCGUAUUCUGAAUACAUAGGGAUACGAGGCGAACCGGGUGAACUGAAACAUCUCAGUAGCUCGAGGAAAAGACAUCAACCGAGAUUCCGAAAGUAGUGGCGAGCGAAAUCGGAGUAGCCCUCGCGUUUUAGCAGUUUGUAUAUCAGAACGGAAUGGAAAGUCCGGCCACAGCGGGUGAUAGCCCCGUAUGAGAAAUGCAGAUUGUGGAACUAGGCGCGAAUAGAGUAGGGCGGGACACGUGAAAUCCUGUCUGAACAUGGGGGGACCACCCUCCAAGCCUAAGUACUCCUUACCGACCGAUAGUGAACAAGUACCGUGAGGGAAUGAUGAAAAGAACCCCGAUGAGGGGAGUGAAACAGAUCCUGAAACCGGAUGCCUACAAGCUGAUGGAGCUCUUCGGAGUGACAUCGUACCUUUUGUAUAAUGGGUCAGCGACUUAGUGUUGCGUGCAAGCUUAAGCCGAUAGGUGUAGGCACAGCGAAAGCGAGUCUUAAUAGGGCGACUGAGUUCGAGGGAUGAGACCCGAAGCCGGGUGAUCUAGCCAUGAGCAGGUUGAAGGUGCAGUAACAUGCACUGGAGGACCGAACCCACGUCUGUUGAAAAAGACGGGGAUGACCUGUGGUUAGGGGUGAAAGGCCAAUCAAACUCGGAAAUAGCUGGUUCUCCGCGAAAUCUAUUUAGGUAGAGCGUCACGAUUAGACUCUGGGGGGUAGAGCACUGAAUGGGCUAGGGGUCCUCACCGGAUUACCAAACCUUCUCAAACUCCGAAUACCCAGAAGUUAUGCGUGGCAGACACACGGCGGGUGCUAACGUCCGUCGUGAAAAGGGAAACAACCCAGACCGCCAAUUAAGGCCCCUAAGUAAUAGCUAAGUGCGAAACGAUGUGGAGGUGCUGAGACAAUCAGGAGGUUGGCUUAGAAGCAGCCAUCCUUUAAAGA